GUUUUUGUAGUUGAAUACAACAGUAGUUUUUCAGACUAUAGGUCUAGGUUAAAAUCCUGGCAGAAAUA
rnacentral:tRNA from 1 species